UUUUUAUUUCUCAUUAAUGCAUAUGCUCUACAAACAUUGAAUAAUGUGAAUUUACAUGGAAGUGAACAGAUUAUUUGUAGCUUUUUCUUUGCACUACGUAGAAAGGAAUUGAUAGAGACUGAGCCUGCUGUGAGGGACACAGCUGAAAGGAGAGUCUUCACAGAGAGUCAAGUGACUUUUAUUUUGUAUUUUGGCAGAGUUCAGUCAAAUAUCAGGCAAAAACCUGCAAACCGAAUUCUUUCAGGAACCGGACAGAUUCACAGACCGUUUCAUUGAUAUUUUCACGUCCAAAAGAGGAGCAAUUGGCUGUAAACUGAAGAACAUUCUACAGCAGAUUGAUAAAUCUGACAUCAAUGGCCGACGAAC